GACAGAGGUGCCGAGCGUUAGGCGGAAUCACUGGGCUUAAAGCGUGUGUAGGCGGAUCGUUAAGUGCCUUGUGAAAUCCCACGGCCACGUACGGUGAACUGCUUGGCAUACUGGCGAUCUUGAGCCACUUAGGGGCUACCGGAACAAAUGGUGGAGCGGUGAAAUGCGUAGAUAUCAUUUGGAACGCCAAUGGUGAAAACAGGUAGCUGGGAGUGUGCUGACGCUGAGACACGAAAGCCAGGGGAGCAAACGGG
rnacentral:rRNA from 1 species